UACAGAGGGUGCAAGCGUUAAUCGGAAUUACUGGGCGUAAAGCGUGUGUAGGUGGUUUGCUAAGUCAGGUGUGAAAUCCCUGGGCUCAACCUAGGAAUUGCAUUUGAUACUGGCAGACUAGAGUGCGGUAGAGGAUGGUGGAAUUCCCGGUGUAGCGGUGAAAUGCGUAGAUAUCGGGAGGAACAUCAGUGGCGAAGGCGGCCAUCUGGACUGCACCUGACGCUGACACGCGAAAGCUAGGGGAGCGAACGGG
rnacentral:rRNA from 1 species